AGCAAUCUCAGAGCCAGGCGCAGGGA
rnacentral:piRNA from 1 species